rnacentral:rRNA from 1 species
AUUGAACGCUGGCGGCAUGCCUUACACAUGCAAGUCGAACGGUAACAGGUUAAGCUGACGAGUGGCGAACGGGUGAGUAAUAUAUCGGAACGUGCCCAGUAAUGGGGGAUAGCCCGGCGAAAGCCGGAUUAAUACCGCAUACGACCUACGGGUGAAAGCAGGGGAUCGCAAGACCUUGCGUUAUUGGAGCGGCCGAUAUCAGAUUAGCUUGUUGGUGGGGUAAAAGCCCACCAAGGCGACGAUCUGUAGCUGGUCUGAGAGGACGACCAGCCACACUGGGACUGAGACACGGCCCAGACUCCUACGGGAGGCAGCAGUGGGGAAUUUUGGACAAUGGACGAAAGUCUGACCCAGCCAUGCCGCGUGCAGGAAGAAGGCC